UAAUGUAUAUACAACUCGUCUAAACAUCAACCCAACAAUGUCAGAUCUGUAAAUUUGCUUUCGCAAAUUUUUGGUUCUUCCCUCGCCGGGAUUCGAACCCAUGCUACUGUGAUAUCGUGACACCAAAUCGCCUGCACUGCAGCCGUCCCGCUAGACCACACGACCACCUGGGCUCUCAAAAAAAGAGCUUUCGGUGGCCAUAUGUUACCUUUCCACGUCAGUUUUAAUCUAGCGGCGUACUACAGUACAUGAUAUAUAAGGCAUGAAGAUGUUAUUGUUACAGAUCAGCUAAAUUAUCUAUAGUAAAGGAUCCUACAAAUUAAUGUAAGAUACAGUCACAGAAAAUAAUUAUAUUCAUAAGUACGUCUGAGUCAGUGACAACCCUACAACAGAUGUAUCCAUCGGAUCGCCAUCAAUGAUGGUGAUUCAUGGCUGUGUACAUAAUGUAUAUACAACUCGUCUAAACAUCAACCCAACAAUGUCAGAUCUGUAAAUUUGCUUUCGCAAAUUUUUGGUUCUUCCCUCGCCGGGAUUCGAACCCAUGCUACUGUGAUAUCG
rnacentral:lncRNA from 1 species